UACAGAGGGUGCAAACGUUGUUCGGAAUUACUGGGCGUAAAGAGCGUGUAGGCGGUCAGGUAGGUCCGUUGUGAAAACUCGAGGCUCAACCUCGAGACGCCGAUGGAAACCAUCUGACUAGAGUCCGGAAGAGGAGAGUGGAAUUCCUGGUGUAGCGGUGAAAUGCGCAGAUAUCAGGAGGAACACUGGUGGCGAAGGCGCCACUCUGGGCCGAAACUGACGCUGAGGAGCGAAAGCGUGGGUAGCAAACAGG
rnacentral:rRNA from 1 species